UACGUAGGGGGCUAGCGUUGUCCGGAAUCAUUGGGCGUAAAGAGCGUGUAGGCGGUCCGGUAAGUCCGCUGUGAAAGUCGCGGGCUCAACCCUCGAAUGCCGGUGGAUACUGUCGGGCUAGAGUGCGGAAGAGGCGAGUGGAAUUCCUGGUGUAGCGGUGAAAUGCGCAGAUAUCAGGAGGAACACCUAUUGCGAAGGCAGCUCGCUGGGACGUAACUGACGCUGAGACGCGAAAGCGUGGGGAGCAAACAGG
rnacentral:rRNA from 1 species